CGGCGGACGGGUGAGUAAUGCCUAGGAAUCUGCCUGGUAGUGGGGGACAACGUUUCGAAAGGAACGCUAAUACCGCAUACGUCCUACGGGAGAAAGCAGGGGACCUUCGGGCCUUGCGCUAUCAGAUGAGCCUAGGUCGGAUUAGCUAGUUGGUGAGGUAAUGGCUCACCAAGGCGACGAUCCGUAACUGGUCUGAGAGGAUGAUCAGUCACACUGGAACUGAGACACGGUCCAGACUCCUACGGGAGCAGCAGCG
rnacentral:rRNA from 1 species